AACACAUACCUUCUGCAUGAAUUCCAGGAGAAGAAAACAGGAAUGGAUAUUUAGACUUCAUGGCCUCUUCCGCUUCCCAAUUAGUGUCUUCCACCUUGUGGUUCCUCUAUAGAACCUUAACUGGAGGUACAUCCUUGGUCCACAACCAAUGAACCUGAUGAUCUAAGAUCUCAACCGGUACCUCCUCAUAAAAUAAGGAAUCCAAGAUACCCAA
rnacentral:lncRNA from 1 species